GACGACCGCUGGCGGCGUGCUUAACACAUGCAAGUCGAACGGAGCGGCCCUGCUUCUGUGGGGUGCUCGAGUGGCGAACGGGUGAGUAACACGUGAGUACCCUGCCCUUGUUUUCGGGGUGACUUCAGGAAACUGGGGCUCAUACAGGCUAGGUGCUACUGCUGCAUGGUGGGGGUUGGACAGUUUCGGCGGCUGGGGAUGGACUGGCGGCUUAUCAGCUUGUUGGUGGGGUAGUGGCUUACCAAGGAUUCGACGGAUCGCCGGCCUUAGAAGGUAACCGGCCACAUUGGGACUGAGAGAGGGCCCAGACUCCUACAGGAGACAGCAGGCGGGAGUCUUGCACAAUGAGCGGAAGCCUGAGUCAGCAACGCCGCGGGUGGGAUGACGUCCUGCGGGGAGAGAACCGCUGUCGCCUAUGACGAAGCGUGUGUGACGGUAAUGAGUAAAGAAGCACCGGCUAACUACGUG
rnacentral:rRNA from 1 species